CUAUGUUGCCCAAGCUGGUCUUGAACUCCUGGCUUCAAGCAAUCCUCCUGCCUUGGCCUCCCAAAGUGCUGAGAUUACAGGAGAGAGCCACUGCCCCUGGAACUUAAAUUACUUCCAAGUGAAUCCUCACUUUGGGCUCUGCUUCUAGACCCUGACUCAAGAUAGAAAGGAAGGAGAAAUGAACCAUGAACAAUUCCAGAGAUUUUGAGACAUGGCAAUUGGACUUUCUGUCAGGGUAAACAUCACAGGUUGGACCAUAUAUUAUGGGAGCACCUUUUGCAAGGAUGAAAUAUUCAGUCUGGGAGUGGCAGCAGAAUGCAAACCAUCCAGGGAAUUAUUCUGGUAGUGCCUGAUGGAUUUAAAUAAUACCAAGAGAAAGACUGCAGAGGGUAUCCUGAGAUUUGCAUGACAUCCUGACCAGGGUUGAUAAGAAGAGCUAAAUGGGGUACUGAUGAGAUCUACUCUUCUGGGAAGAAGAAUUUUGACCAGAAGUUGUGAAAUGGCUCAGGGUUUAUCUGCAAGCAGAGGACCCUUACCAGACUGUAUUACUUCCCCAUGCUUUGUGACUCCCCAGCAGGGCUUUCUGCCAAGCCAUGGCAACUUGAGGUCAUUUGGCUUUGAAGUGCCACUCAGAAGACUUGUGGAAUCAAUACCCCUGAAGGUGAUGCUCAACCAGUGAGGGAUGAGAUCCGGAUCCAGUAUAUAGUCCUCAGCAGAUUUAAAUCAUGGAUGCUUUAGAAUACUGCAAGCGUGUAAGCAAAGGAGAUGCUUUCCUGCAAUGGCUCACUUUUCUACCUUUGAUUGCGAAGUGGGGUGUGCAACACACUCUAGGAAGCCCCACCCCAAUCCAGUAACUUAAUCUGAGUCCUCCCUUCAUUCUGCAGAUCUGAGCUGUAUAUGAAAAGAGUCUAUGAAAUGCGCACUUUGAGGCCUGGUGAUCGAUGGAAUGGUCUUGCCAAGCUGAGGAGCAGGCUGAACUGAAGUCAUACAUUGGCAGUCAGGGUAGAUCCAAGGAGACCUUCUUCAGGACAGGGAGAGGAACUGCAUCAAAGCACAAGUUAGAGGGCCACGUGACCUUGGCCAAACUGAUCAACUUCUCUAAGCCUCAGUGACACUUUUGCUAAAUGGAAAUAACAAUAAUAUCUACCUUGAAACCCGGAGACGCAGCUGCUACCAUCAUUUUCAUUUUACAGCUUACAAUGUAAAUGGGCAGAGUGUGUCCCAGCAGCCAGAGUCAGAGAGUCUCCAGGCAAAGAAUCUCAGGAGCUGGCUGGCUCUAUUACCAACCAUGGAAAUGCAACUCUCAGAAAAAAGAGUCUAUGUCCCUGACCCCAGAAUCUGGCUUGACUUUGCGACUUGCUUUCACCAAUCAAAUGCAGAAGAAGUGAAGUCUGGUCCUCAGGAGGUUUUGUACUCCUCUGCUGACUCUCCUGGGAUGCUAACAAUGCCAUGAGUCCUAGUUACGACUAACUUACAUGGCCUAGUCACCUCCAUUGUCCAAGCCAAUAGGUACCCAGCCAUCACACCUACAGUGAGGCCAUUUCAGUCUCCAGCUGAUCUGCUGUGGAUGAGCAUGGCCAAGAUCAACUGAGUUUGGCUCAGAUGAGCAAGACUACCUGGAUAACCUACAAUCUUGUUGGGCCAAGAAGACAUAUGUACAUAGAAAUCUUUGAACUUUGCUGAUAAGAGGAAGCCUAGAAUUCCAAGCCAACUCCUUCAUUGAAUAGAUGAGGAAAAUAAAGCCAAGAGAAAAUGAUAGGCUUGACAAAGUCAAAAUAACCAGAUCCAGAUUGUCUGACUUCUAGCCCAGUGGCCUUCCAGGAGAGCAGGAGAUGUUGUGAGGAACACAACGUCUCCUGUGACACAGGACACAAUGUCAGAAAUCAGCACCCAUUUUCCUUCUUCUGUUAACAGUUCUUUGGCUUUCUUUUGGGAAGUCAUGCUUGCUCAACAGUGGAGAAAUGGAGGCACUCAAGGAUCAAGCAUUUUCCCAGGGCCGUAUAGUUAAUGUAGCACUUAGAAGACUGGGCAUCUUUUUCAAUGCCACAUAGCAGCACAGCUAGGAGCUGAACCAGGCAGUCUGGUGCUACAGGCCAUACAUUUUGACAUUGUUUUGUUGCCUCUUGACAAAGUCCAUGGACUGUGAUCCUGGGACCAACAGCAUCAGCAUCAACUGGGAACUUCUUAGAAAUUCAAAUUCUUGGGGCUAUUCCCCAAAUUUCUGGGUCAGAAGCUCUGGGGAUGGGGCCCAGCAAGCUAUGUGUUAACAGACUUUUUAGAUCAGGGGCUCCCCCCAGCUCCCAGGCCAAGAACCAGUACCAGUCUGUGGCCUGUUAGGAACCAGGCUGUACAGCAAGAGGUGAGGAUUACUGCCUGAGCUCUGCCUCCUAUCAGAUCAGUGGUGGCAUGGCAUUAGAUUCUCACAGGAGCAAGAACCAUAUUGUGAACUGCACACACAAGGGAUCUAGGUUGCGUGCUCCUUAUAAGCAUCUAAUGCCUGAUGACCUGAGCUGGAACGAUUUCAUCCUGAAACCAUCUCCCCCUUCCCCCAACCCCGUCCGUGAAAAAAUUGUCUUCUAUGAAACUGGGCCCUGGUGCCAAAAACAUUGGGGGUGGCUGUUUCAGAUUAUUCUUACUCAGGAUAAAGUUUGAGAUCACCUGCCCUAGCUCCUUAAAUUUAAGCUAUAAUUCAUAAAUUGGGUUCUUACGGUGCAUUAGAAUAAUGCAUUGAAUAGGUGAUUUUUGGAUGACUCCUAUGUGCU